CCAACUGUGGAGCAACAGCAGCUGAGGAACAAGAAACCUUUGUUUUGACUUCUUGAAGAUAUAAAACUUUUUCAAUCUAAAUGAACUGAAUCGUGAAAUUCUGGGACAUAGAAAUCUAAUCAGUUAUUUCUGGUAAGGGAGAAGAACAAUGGUACCUUUCAUUUUCAGUUGAACAAACGCCUGUGAAGAAUUACGUCUUUUAGAAUUUCUGAGAUGUCCGAACUGUGAAAGGCAGUUAAUAAUCACCUGAGCAGCGCUGCAGUUGUUUGGAAAUCUAAUUAUCUGCUACGGCUGUUAAAUGAUGGCGGAGGGAGACCUGAAAAGGCACGCCAGAGCGGCAGAGUGGAGAGAGAGACCAGAGCCACCACCUGAAGCUGUGUGUUUUGCCAGCAAGAGCCCUUUUGUUUGAGUUUAAUUAGAAAGUGAGAAAGAGUAAUAAAACACUCACCUUGACGGUUCGCUGUCUCCUGACACCUCCUUUGCCCAGAAGGAUCAAAGAUCUUGUUACAUGGUCCAAAUGAGCAUGGCAAAGAGAGAUGUCCAGUGCCCUGUCCCCAUUUCAUUUGCUUCAUGCUUCGGAAGGGAGGAACUUCUCAACAGCCACAUCACAGCACACCACUGAAUGAUAAAGGCUGAUGCUCCUGUUCUACACGCUCUGUACGGGACUCGAACUGGCAUCUCCGGCAUGGGAGGCGGGUGCGCUAACAAGGAGGUUAAAGGCUACAGCCCCUAGCAUCAGUCGCUAGUGCAUUUCUUGAGUUUUGGAAUGCCCAAUUCCCACUACUUACUAGGUCCUUGUGGUGGCACGGUUACUCACCUCAAUCCGGGUGGCGGAGGACAAGUCUCAGUUGCCUCUGCUUCUGAGACAUUGAAUCCGUGCAUCUUAUCAUGUGGCUCACUGUGCAUGACACCACAGAGACUCAUGCUACUCUCCGCGAUCCACGCACAAAUUACCAUGUGCCCCAUUGAGAGCAAGAACCACUUAAUUACAACCACAAGGAGGUUACCCCAUGUGACUCUACCCUCCCUAGCAACCGGGCCAAUUUGGUUGCUUAAGAGACCUGGCUGGAGUCACUCAGCACACCCUGGAUUCGAACUCGUGACUCCAGGGGUGGUAGUCAGCAUCAAUACUUGACAUAUUAAAUUUUUGAAAGAUUUAAGUUUUUUUCUUCAACAUACUUCUUUUAUUGACAAUUUUGCAGCAUGUAGUCUAUUUUUCAUAAAAACAACAUGUAAAAGGUAGGAACAUUUGGAUUUCUCAGUGGAUUUCUCACAAUGCUGCCAAGAACAUACAUGCUGUAGCAAUAAAUAAUGCAAAAAUCAAAGUCAGUCAGCAUAAACUUCAUCUAUAAGAUUCCAGCGGUUAAAUUAAUGUUGUGAAAAAGAUCAAUAUUUAAGUACUUUUUAACUCUAAACCAUUGCUUUCGGUCAGCAGCCAUAUACGCAUCCACGAGAGCACUGCGUACACAUCUGUCACGUGACGAAUUUGCAUUGGCAUGUUACGGGCGUAGUCUCACAUUUUUCUCUCAGUUGAGACAUCCAGGAUAAGCACACAAAUGCACCAUUGUAAGUAAACAAACCGAUAAAUACAGAUCUAGACCCAAAUCAACUAAGCUUCUGUACAGCGUUCCUCCUACUCAGCUGUAAACAGCGCUGCUCUUCCGUGUGUGUCGCAUGUACGUCAGUUUUCACGUGAACAUGCCAAUGCGAUUACGCCACAUGCACAUACUGCUGCUGACCGGAAGCUAAGAUUUAGAGUUAAAAAGUAUUUAAAUUUAAAUCUUUUUCACACCAAAAGCGAUUGGGUCGAUCGUGAAAUCAUUUAACAGCUGGAGUCGUAUGGAUGAUGUUUAUGCUGACUGUCUGUGAUUUUUAGAGCUUUAAAAGACUGAUCACCACCCACUUUCAUUAUAAGUACCUACUGAGCUAAAAUAUUUUACUAUUUUUCUUCAAAUGUGUUCAGCAGAAGAAAGAAAGUCAUACACAUCUGGGAUGGAAUGAGGGUGAGUAAAUGAUGAGAGAAUUUUCAUUUCUGGGUGAACUAACCCUUUAUUAUUGCUCCCUCACAAUAAAUUAACCAUGGUUUUACUUUAGUAAAAUUGUAACAAACAUGACUGUAGUAACCAUGGUAAAUCUUGUAGUAAUGGUUUUCAAAUACCAUGGUUAAACAAUGGUUUCUUUAGUAAAACAAAGUUUAAUUUUCAUAACGGUUAUCUAUUUUUUUUUUUCUUCAGCAGAAACAAUAGUUUACUUAUGGGAGUAAAACCAGAUGAACCACAAAAUGAUAAUUUUGUUACCAUACUUUUCAUUGUCCUGUGUUAUUAAACAAUGGUUUCACUACAGGUAUCAUGGUUAAAAUAUGGUUCCUACUGAAACCAUGGCAAGUUUUAUGGUUAUGUUUUUACCACAAAUACCAUUGUUCAACUAUGAUUACUGUACUAAAACCACGGUUUUUUUUUUUUUUUUAUAUUUGUUUUUCUUUUUUUUGGCGAGGGAAAUCCUCCCUCUCUGCCCUCUUAAGGGGCUCUGUAUGUUUCAGACCUGUAUGUUAUUAUUUUGUGAAACACAAAAGAAGAUAUUGCAAUAUGGAAUUUCAGUCAACCACUCACUUAAAAAGAAAAGAAAGAUGCAAUGAAAGAAAAUGGUGACUGAGAAUGUCAGUCCCUAAUGUUCUGCCUUAUCUCCUUAUGUGUUUCACAGAAUAAAAAUGUCUAAGGUUCAGAACAACAUGAUGGUGUGUAUAUGAUGACAGCAUUUAAAUUUUAUGGAUUAACUAACUUUUAAAAUCUGUAAAAUUGACACUACCUUAAAAUUUGCCUGUAAUUUGUUAUUAUACAUCUAUUUGUGAAGUGUGAAGGCAUUUUAAGUUUUAAAGAUACUAUAGAAAAAGUUA